rnacentral:rRNA from 1 species
UGAGGGCCCUUUGGGUCCAACCUCCCACCCGUGUUUAUUUUACCUUGUUGCUUCGGCGGGCCCGCCUUUACUGGCCGCCGGGGGGCUCACGCCCCCGGGCCCGCGCCCGCCGAAGACACCCUCGAACUCUGUCUGAAGAUUGAAGUCUGAGUGAAAAUAUAAAUUAUUUAAAACUUUCAACAACGGAUCUCUUGGUUCCGGCAUCGAUGAAGAACGCAGCGAAAUGCGAUACGUAAUGUGAAUUGCAAAUUCAGUGAAUCAUCGAGUCUUUGAACGCACAUUGCGCCCCCUGGUAUUCCGGGGGGCAUGCCUGUCCGAGCGUCAUUGCUGCCCUCAAGCCCGGCUUGUGUGUUGGGCCCCGUCCUCCGAUUCCGGGGGACGGGCCCGAAAGGCAGCGGCGGCACCGCGUCCGGUCCUCGAGCGUAUGGGGCUUUGUCACCCGCUCUGUAGGCCCGGCCGGCGCUUGCCGAUCAACCCAAAUUUUUAUCCAGGUUGACCUCGGAUCAGGUAGGGAUACCCGCUGAACUUAAGCAUAUCAAU